UACGGGGGGGGGCAAGCGUUGUUCGGAAUUACUGGGCGUAAAGGGCCAGUAGGCGGCCAACUAAGUCGGAUGUGAAAUCCCCAGGCUUAACCUGGGAACUGCAUCCGAUACUGGAUGGCUUGAAUUCGGGAGAGGGAUGCAGAAUUCCAGGUGUAGCGGUGAAAUGCGUAGAUAUCUGGAGGAAUACCGGUGGCGAAGGCGGCAUCCUGGACCGACAUUGACGCUGAACGGCGAAAAGCUAGGGGAGCAAACGGG
rnacentral:rRNA from 1 species